rnacentral:lncRNA from 1 species
UUAAAAAUUCAGUGUACUUUUUUGCCCUUUGCAUUCACCUUAGGCUAUGCUUGCAGCAGUGUCAGAAGUGCCCAAGUUAGGUGAAGAAGUGGUAAUUCAUGUUCCAGAAGCAGUACUGGAUCCCUGUUUCACCUGGUUCUCAGCAGAGGACAUCUGAGCAAUGCCAGGCAACCUCCUAAUGGAACACCGUGGUGUGAUGGGAGGAUGGAGGAGACCCUCAUCCUUUGGUUCCUUUGUGAACCACUGUAAGGGAACUGCUGAAUCAUGGCCUGAGCCUCUGAUUGAUCACCAGCAAUGAGUCAGCCAUGGGAGCACAGGUGUAGGCAAUUCACCUGUGCUGCUGGAAGGGGUGGAGCCUGGCUGCAUCUCUCCUAGACCCAUUUAAAAGCUGACUACCAGUGGGGAAGGAUCUCUUCUGAAGAUCCCUCCUUCUGGAGUUUUCCAGCAAGUCCAGGAAAAGAGUAAGCCUUCUCUCUGUUAUUUUUGGUGUAGUGACCUGCUUAGCCACGCUCUCUUGUAUAUUUCUUAAUCAUAACAUCUGUAUGUUCAUUGAUUAUGCAACCAUCAACUCAUAUUUAGACUGCUCUUUUAAUAACCAGCUGUAGCAUCUAGUCCAUAGGUGUCCAACCUUUUGGCUUGCCUGGGCCACACUGAGUGAAGAGGGAUUGUCUUGGGUUGCAUGUAAAGCACAUAAUGAAGUUAAUGUAUGUAAGAACACAACUUCACUUUUUAUGUAUUUUUAUUACGAUAUAGAAUAAAG